rnacentral:rRNA from 1 species
UACGUAGGGUGCGAGCGUGUCCGGAAUUAUUGGGCGUAAAGAGCUCGUAGGCGGUCUGUCACGUCGGCUGUGAAAACCCGAGGCUCAACCUCGGGACCUGCAGUCGAUACGGGCAAACUAGAGUACUGCAGGGGAGACUGGAAUUCCUGGUGUAGCGGUGGAAAUGCGCAGAUAUCAGGAGGAACACCGGUGGCGAAGGCGGGUCUCUGGGCAGUAACUGACGUGGGAGGAAGCGAAAAGCGUGGGGAGCGAACAGG